AGAGUCAGUGCACACUGACAGUUUGGCUCUCUCUGGAGAAGGAGACUUGAAGCUGCCAGGAGAUUGGACCUUCUUUCCAUCAAUACAUCUUACGAAGUGGUAGAAAUACCAGUAAAUCUUUGAACAUAUUCGGCCACAACUCUCUACUUGAUGACAUUUUGCUUAACAUGUUUUCUCUGGAGACAAAAGUAUUUGUUAAUAUAGUUAGACUGCGAGUAAUAAUAUGGUCAAAUAAAAAAGGAUGAGAGACUAAAACCAUUUUCAAAGACUGGUUUUCAAGUUAUUUUCCUCCAGCAACUGAAAAAUACUGCAAGGAUAACAUCCCAUUUAGAUGAUGCCCCAGGUCAGUUGGCCAUCUAUAUCUGUUUCAUUGUGUGAGAAUGUGAGCUAGCAAAUUCACUGAGAUAUAGGUAAAGAUUUCUUCAUCUAACAUGAUAUGUGUGAUAACUUAAGGAAAGACUGUUCAUUCUG
rnacentral:lncRNA from 1 species